AGCGAACGCUGGCGGCAGGCUUAACACAUGCAAGUCGAGCGGGCACUCUCGGGUGUCAGCGGCGGACGGGUGAGUAACGCGUGGGAACGUGCCCUCUGGUUCGGAAUAACUCAGGGAAACUUGAGCUAAUACCGGAUACGCCCUUUUGGGGUAAGGCUUACUGCCGGAGGAUUGGCUCGCGUCUGACUAGCUAGCUGGAGAGGUAACGGAUCACCAAGGCGGCGAUCAGUAGCUGGACUGAGAGGACGGUCAGCAACACUGGGACUGAGACACGGAGCAGACUCCUAGGAGAGGGAGCAGGGGGGAAGAAUGGACACUGGGCGCAAGACUGAUCCAGCCGUGCCGCGUGAGUGAUGAAGGCCUGAGGGUUGUAAAGCUCUUUUAUCCGGGACGAUAAGGACGGAACCGGAGGAAUAAGCCCCGGCUAACUUCGU
rnacentral:rRNA from 1 species